AAACACAUACCAUUAGUUUAACAUCGCAAGAAAACAUUUUGCAUGAAAAACUUUUUUCACAUACUAGUUAUUUUUUGCGAAAACAAGUAGAGCCUAGGUUAUCAAAUAUUGCGCUAUUACUGUAGUUCAGUUACUUGUAUGCAGAACUAGUAGCUUGUGUGCUGCCCAUUGACCAUUUUUUAUUUUUCUGUGUUGUGAUUUGGUUUCCUUAUUGGUUAUCACAGGAUUGGAAGUUGGAGAAGAAGU
rnacentral:misc_RNA from 1 species